CGUCGAUGCUUCCAACCGUGGUACAAUUAUUAAGAGGUAUCUCGAUAAUUGAGGAAUGACAGAAGCCGAAAGUCACAAAUACAUGAAGACAUCGUGCCUACGUUCCGUCCGUCCGUCAGCCUUCAGUCAUUCCAGGUUAAUGGUGGCUUAAUAUAACUCCGUUCGGAAAACGGAGACCGAGUGAACGGAGCAUGGAGCUUUUCUUCGAUUCGGUUCGGUUCGGUUCGGGCCGCGCGGUUCGAGGAUCAUAACUUUGACGGUCCACCGAGUGGGAGGCGGAGGCGGUCUGUGUUUCGUAUUUUGAAAAAUACAGCGAGGAGAUGAGAGGAGGUGAGAGGAUAGGAGAGGCGCGGAGAGGAGAGGAGAGGAAGAGAGAAUUUGGACCGCGUCACCGACGGUGGUGGGGAUCCAGUUCCAGGAGCUUGCGAGAACCGGGGUUCUCGGCGAGCUUGCGGCCUCCACGAGCCGAUCCUGCAGUCGAGCAGAGAUACCGUAGUCGAAAAGAAGCCCUCCGUCCCAAGGGAUCGUGGAGAUUGUAUUCGGCGUCGAGUCCGUGCGGGGAUCACAAACGGUAUACCAUAACCGCGAUAUUCCCAACGAGGAUCAUCAAGACGGCAAAUAUACUUUGAGAAAAUCAAAGGCUAGCUCCGGACUCGUGUACCAAGGAGAAAAAGAACACGUUCAAGGAUCCGCAAACAUGCCGCCAGUUUCAGAAACCAGCAACAUCCUCACCACCUACCUUAUUCUCAUUCUGCUGCUCAUCUCAUUAUGGAUCCUCUACGCAGGUGUCUUUUAGAACAGACAUUCCCACCAUGGAUUCGCUGGGUUAACAUUAUGCUUUGAAGCAUGGCUGGUCAAAGACAUGGGGGCUCCCAGCCAACCGAAACUGCACCGCCACCGGCCCCACCAUCCAUAAACAUCACUAACAUCAUUCUACUUGAUUAUUUAUGACAUAAUUUAUUAUACACAUCUAUAUACAUAUAUUAUACAUUAUAUUGUACUCUGUAAUUAUACUGUUUAUCAUCGUUGUA
rnacentral:misc_RNA from 1 species